AUCACCAAAUGACAAAAUCUCCAGAUCCUUCUUCAGGGAACACGCUUCAAGUACCUUCUCAUACUUUUCCCUAUCCAUUUGUUUGCCAAACAAUAUAUUAUCCUCAAUCUUACCACUUUGUAUCCAUGGAGAUUGAGUAACAUAGGCCCACAAACCUUAAGGAUGCCUGAUAUCUUUGGUACUUCUCCUAAUAAACAAGAAAGGAAUGUAGACUUGCCUGAUCCAACAGUACCACAAACUGCAACCUUCAUCCCAUUGAAAACUUUAAGAUUUAUAUUUUGUAAUGUUGGGUUAGGGGAAGAUAAUUCCCAACAAAAGUUUCCACCAACUACUUCAAUUGCUGUAUCAGAACUUCCCCGGGGAAGCUUCUCUACAACAUCAGAGGGUAAGUCAUCCAGACGAAGGAAUGAUGCAAUCCUAUCAAGAGAUACUUUAGUUUGUGCUAUCAUCGAAAUUGUAUCUGGAAGGUUAUAAAUGGGCUCCUGAAGAAUCCCAAAUGUUGCUAGUGCAGACAAGAUCUUCCCUGAUUCAAGGGGGACCCCUCCAAGCAUACAAGUACCGAAAGUAACCACGGCUACAAAUGUGGGGCCACCCCUAAACAAAAACGAGCUCAUGGCUGCAAUAUAGGCACCUUUUUUCAACCAGCCUUGCUCAGUUUUCCUGAGCUCAGUUAUUUUUUAUAGAAACUUCAUUUCCCAUCCUUGUAGUUUGAGAAUCUUCAUAUUCCUUAAAAUCUCGGCUGUGGCUUUCAUUCUUGUAUCUUUCGACUGCAUCAAUUUCUUUUGAAACUUCUCUUGCAAUGAUCCCAAGGGAACAUUUACCAGCAUAACAACAAUAGUUGCAACAAAAGCAGCAAUUGAAGCCAGCCAAGGUUUUUAUACAAAAUCAAAAAGGCCAAUGUAACUUUCAAGGCCACCAUCCACAAAUCAUGUAUAUACCAACUAAAGGCACCAACUCUUUCAGCAUCAACAGCCAUGAAAUUGAUUAUUUCCCCGUAAGUGUGGCCAUGCUUGGAUUGACAAGAAAGGGUCAGAGCCUUGUUGUAGAUCAUCGUGACAAGCAGUGCACGCAUUCGAAGUCCAACUUGCUGCAACCUAAAGCACCGAUGCAAUUGAGACAGACACUCUGCCAUCUUUGCAAAGAGAAAAGCCGAAAUCAAAACAUAGCCCUGGUUUUCAUAAAGCCGUUGUCCAUCAAGGUACUGAACAAAACCAUCCAUAAGAUAAGGACCAACAUAAGAAGCCAAAGUGUUUAACAGUGCAAGAAAAGCUGUGAAAAGAAUCUCCUUCCACGCUGACAUCACUAACGACUUCACCAACUUAAGUGUGGUGACAUUAUUUAUUAUGCCACAAUCAGCCUCAAGUUUAUCUCUGAACCCAGGAAAAGCUCCAACAACACUGUCUCUGCUGUCUAGUUGAGGAACAUCCUCAAGGUCGAGGGUCUUCUUAUUGCCAACAGCUAUAAGAGGACCCACCCAAGAGAAGGUAAGAAGGCUAAGAAUGCCAGCAUAUGAGAAAGGCGUAACAGUGUCCCCUCCCCUGGUCUCUUUUGAUCUCAAGACAUCAUCCUCAUUUGUGCCACCAUUCAAAAGAGGUUCCUGAAUACCGUUAUUUUCUUUUUCUCGAACGUGGCCUUUGCUUUUCACAAAAUACCCCACGUAACAGAAUAACAAACCAACACAAGUGGAAACUACAUCAGAAACCAAGUACUGUGUUGGCAAAACAACGCGUCUCUCUGAUAUAACAACAAUGUCCACCACGAAGCAAUAGCAAGAAACAGAGAGGUACAAGACGCACCAAGCUCUGAAGAGGAAUGAGAACCUUCUCUCGCCUGAACUGAAGAAGCCCUUGUUCAAGCAAACACAAACAACGCCCCAGGCAACUGUUUUGAGCACCAAAUCCAAAAGGGUCACGAGCUCUUCUUCUGACCAGCCACUAGAGUACCAGUAGAAGUAAUUGAACAAACAGAGGAGAAAACUGAAAGCAGAAACACCCAGAGAACAAAACACGGUCGUUUUAAAGAGGGUGUUGUCGAGCUUCUCCUUAGACUCAUUCCUGACACGUGUCGUGAAUUUCUUCCAAACCCAUGACAAUGAAACCGCGACGAGCAACAGAAGGUGGAGGAAGCCGGAUAAGCCAUGAGGGAAAACGGGUUGGAGGAGAACAUCGUUGGAAAGGUGUAUGUGGGUAAAGGGCAAGAAAAGAGACAACAUCACAGUUAGAAAUUAGAAUGAACGACGAAAUACAAAAUUUGUAUGGGGUGUUUGCUUGGAAGAAAUGGGACAGUGUAAGAUGGUGUAAAAGAUUAAGUAUUUGAGGUCUAUAUAAAGAGUAGGAAAUCGUGCAGAAAGGUGAAGUCAAAAAGGAGAGACAAAGAGAGUCAAAUAAAAAAAAGUUGCUUGGGAAGACGGUAACUUGGUGGGCAAGACUCGUGUUUGGUAGAGAGAAAUAGCAGAAGAGACAAAAGGGUGGAGUUUUCCACGAAAAAGAAUGGAGCUUGGAGAAGAAUCAGCGCGACACACUAUGCAAACAAUGGAAGAGAGAGAGUGUGUGUGACAAUGAUCUUAACAUGCGGGCAAUGCACAAGUUAUAGUUAGAGAAAAUCUCUUGGAAUUAAUUGCUUCCUCUUCUUGUCUCUCACACUUAAUUUUAUCUAUUAAGUAUUUGACUUUAAUUUAAUUAAAAUGUGUCAGGUUUUAGUUUUUUAUUCUGACAUUUAAUAAUAAACUAUACGUACUACUCUUUUUCUACCAACUUAUAUUUUAGGAAUUUUUAUUUUUAUCAUGUCACACGUAAUUUAUCUAUGACUGUUUUUUAUAUUUUAAUAUUAUUUUUUUUAAUUUUUACCCGUUAUUAUUUAUUUUUAUAUUGUAAAUACAAUUAAUUAUGAUACUAUUUUUAGAUUUUUUGGAUUGUUUGUUAAUUUUUCAUACACUUUAAAUUAAAAAAAUUAACAUUAACAACAAAUAUUUUUUUACAUACUCUAUAAAAAUUAUACACAAUAGAAAUGUUAAGAAAAUCAAUGUAUUAACUAUUUAAAUAGAAAAUUUUAAAAAAAUUAAAUUUCCGAAUAAAUAAAUUAAAAUUGAAAUUUUAUUAUGCUGGAAGAACAUUAAAAUUGGUUGUUCCCAUAAAUGGGGAGGAGAACAAAGUACAUUGAAACACAUGUAUAUUCAUUUGUCUUCAUGUCCACCACUUCUUUAUUACAAUGAAUGGUCACUUUCAAGAAAGUGUAAUUUAUUUUCAUUUUUAUUUUUUAGAAAUAUACUUAUUGGUAUUAUUUUAUUAAGUGAUGGAAGAUUUAAACCUAAGGAUGUCACUUUACAUAUAGAAUAAAUAAUGUUAGAAAAUAAAUAAAUCUAAAAUUAUUUAUCAUUUUAAUAUAAACUUACAAAUUUGGAAUUUUUUAAAAAAUAAUAUAAUUUUUAUAUUAAUUAUUAAAAUAAAUAAAAUUUUAUCGAAAUAAAUAAAUCAUAUUAAGAUGACACAAAUUCAAUUAAAAUCAUAUUACUUAAAACAACUUUAAUUCAACUACACUAAAAUUAUAAAUUUUUUCCAAAUAAAAUUAUAAUUUUUUAAAAUUUCACUCAUACAAAUAAUUAAAAUGUAAAAUGUAAUUAACAUAUAAAAUUACAAUUUGAUAAAAAAAAACCUCUAAACAAUUUCUUCAUUCAUUUCACUUUAUAUAAUAUUUAAGACUACGACAUUAAUAUUGUAAUCAGCAUUCUAAAUUUAUAAAACUGUCUAAUAUAUCUUUCAAUUUCAUGAACUAAUUAGUCAUUUACCACAAUCACUUAUACAGAUGAAUGUUGACCAAAUUUUGGAAGCUAAAAUAAUACAUUUAAACAAAGCAUAAUUUAUAAUAUUUAAUAUCUAUGUUAAGUUACUACCACACGUCUAAGGUAGAGUGGGUAAGUUUUUCUCCUAACCACAUAAGAAAACAUAUAAAAAAAAUAGAGACAUUUUUAUUAAUUUAAUGUAAUAUUGUCUGUUAAUUAUUAAAAAAAUUAAAUUAAUUAAAAUAAAAAUUUAUAUCAAAAUGACGUAAUUCUUUAUGAAAAAAUGUGUUAAAAUAAUAUCACUUUAAUAUAUUUAAACUGACGUAAUUUUAAUAUAAUCAAAAUUUAAUUAUUAAUAAUUUUUUAUACCAUUGACAUAUUUGGAUAGGAAUCAAGUAUAUCUUAUUAGGAAUAGAAGUCAGUUUAUCUUGGAAAAGAAAAAAAAUUAGAGGCAGGAGGUUACUGAGUAGAAGAGAGGUGAACUUUUUAGAUGGGAUACAAAGGUUAGAAGGUUGAAAGAGGUAUCUUCUUCUAAAUUCUUCUGCUAUUAUUAGGAUUUUUAUCUUUAAGAUAUGUAUCAACACUAUUGGUAAGUAGAAUCCUAUUUUUCUACCAUUGGGGUUAAGGUUUUGAUUUUCUAUAUCACUGUGUAUAAAUAUUUUCUCAUAAUAAUUUCUUCCUUCACCUGUGUAAACAGACUAGGCAUUAAAACCUUUAUUUUAUGAAAUACUAUAAUCUCAGAAAAAUAUACACAAAUUCCAUGUAAUCCACAAGAUUUUCGCCACUGUCAAGGAACAUUUUUGUUUCUGUAUGCUUCAAUUUGAAUCAGUGAUCAUCAGAUUUCUCAAAAUUGGAGUUGAAACUCAUGGUAUACUCAGCAACAAGUCGAGCAAAAUAUGAUGACUUAUUCUCUAGCAAUUUUGUUGGGGUGUCAUACUCCUCAAUAAGUCCUGCACCAAUGUCUAGCCAAAUUAGAAAAUGAAAGAUGAAGAUGCAAAGAAUAUGAAUGCUAUGUGAAGAAUGAGAGGCUUUCCUAACCUUGACUAAGAAGCAGAACCAUAUCACUGUCAAGAACUGAAGUUAUUCGGUGUGCAAUGGUAAUAACUGUGGAGUCAGUGAAAUGUUGCCUAAGAGUUUGCUGAAUCAAAUUAUCCGUAGCUGUAUCAACUGAUGCAGUGGCUUCAUCAAGAACCAAAACCUUGCUUUUCUUUAGCAGAACCCUCCAAAGGCAGACCAACUGUCUCUGACCCAUACUCCAAUUCUCACCAUUCUCACUGACUGCAACAUCAGCAUGAACAUUAGCAAUAAGUUCAAGAAUAGAUUUAGUACACACUUAUGUUCAACAAAGUUCAAAGAGAAACCUUUGGAAUCAAGCUUUCCUUCUUUCUUUCUAACUUCAUCUCCAAGUUGACAUUUAUCCAAGGCCUAUUUAAAAAGAAUGUUAAUGAGUGAGCGCAAUAUAAAUUGUGAAGAACGACUACAGCAUAAUCUUUUAUACCAACACACCUCCCAAAUUUGAUCAUCAGUGUAUUCUUCCAGGGGGUCCAGAUUAUUUCUUACUGUUCCUUCAAACAUUGUUGGAUCCUGAGGAAUAAUGCUUAGUCUAGACCUCAAAUCAUGAAGUCCAAUUGAAGAGAUGUUGAUGUUGUCUAUCAUAAUUUGCCCAGCAGCAGGCUCAACAAUUCGGAAAAGCGUUUGUAUGAGAGUGGAUUUACCACUUCCUGUUCUCCCAACAAUGCCAGUUUUCAGUCCUCCAGGAAAUUUGCACGUAAUACCACGCAGCACAAGUGGAAGAUGUGGAGCGUAACGAACCUUCAGAAUGGGCAAAACAUCACUUUAAACAUAGCACAAAACACCAUGUAUAAAUUAUGUUAUGAAAUAUGUUGGCAUGAUUUUUUUCGUGUUCCAGAACCUAAAUUCUAACCAUUUAGUAAAAGAAAACUUUGGCAUGAAUUUCAUAAAUCAAUUGACCACAAAAUGAAAGAGAAAAAAAUACAAAACCAAAAAUUUAUAUUAGCUCAAAGUACCUGCAAAUCUUGAAUAUCAACCUCGCCAUUUGAGGGCCAAGAAGGAUCUGGCCGAUUUUCAUCUACAAGAAGGGGAGGUUCACUAGGAAUACAAGUAUACUGAAGUAUCCUUUCCACUGAUAUAAUUUUAUUCUCCAUAUUGCAUAGAUUCCAUAUCAUCCAAGCUUGUAUCAUGUUCAAAUUUAGUCCAUAGGUAACCGCUAAACCAGCAAGGCCUUCAAAUCACAUAAAACAUAUAAAAGGGAACAAAUUAUGUUGAAUUCCAUAUUACAUUAGCAGAGUAAAUUUUGAUUUGUAACGAGUUACCAGAUUGGAAUAACACACCUGGAUCUAUGAGUCCCGCUGGAAUAGAUAUUAAAAAUAUUAAGGAAAAGGCAAAUGUGAUAGAAGACAACAUAUCUAGGCGGAAGCACAACCAUUCCAUGGCACCAGCAAUAUUGAACUUUGGCCGAGAAUACCCAUCAGUCAGCUUCAUAUUUGUUUCCUGAAAUCUUGAUUGCUGAUCAAAGCUUCUAAUGGUUGAAGUACCAGAAAUUGUUUCAGAAAAGUGUUGAAUGUUUGGGGCUUUGCAGACACCAACUAAACGUGACAGUUCUCGAGCUGCUGGAAUAUAAUAUUGCUGCAGAAUUACAAGUUUGUAAGAUCUUAGCAAUCAUCAUAAAAUAUUUUAUAAUGGAGCAAACUCUGAAAAGUAAACAUGGUACAUAAUCUUUGCAGGUAAGCCAUUAUCAGAAAAAGAAUAACGAGGCAGUGCAAGAAAUAUAUGCCACCUUAUUAUCAAAGUCUACACGCUCAGAUUAAUACCUGAUACCAGAGGCUGACUGCGAUUACAGGUAUAAAGACUACGAAAACUUGCCAUGCAGCCUGAGACAUCACUCCUAUAAUUCCCAGAAGUUGGAUCACAAUGAAGGCAAAUGAUGCAAUUUGAUAAGGAAUCUCUGUAUCCAAUGCACUCUGAUCCGUUGAAGCCUGCAAGAGAACAGUAAGAAAGACAAGCAACACACUAUCAUACACACAAAAUUCAUAUCUUUAAAAAUCAUGAGAAAAAUGGGGAAAAAAAUGAGGUAUGUGUGCAUACUCUAUUAAGGAUUCGCCCACUUGGAGUGGAAUCGAAAAAUGACAUUGGAGCACGGAAAAUACAGAAGUGCAUUUUAUUGAAGAGAAUAGUAGCUGUCUUAUAACCAGCAGUAACAAGAAGCAUUGCUCUGGCAAGGAUGCAGAAAGAACUUCCAAUGGCCAAACAAACAUAAACCACAAUAAGAGUCGUUCCUUCAACAGGUGGUUCCACAUCGGUUGAGAUGGGAGUCGCCCAAGCCAUCCAAUAAUUGCUUCCGAUUUGAAGACCUUGAAAAAGAAUCUGAGCCAACAAUAUGAAUGGCACAAGAGCUCCUCCAUAUGCUGUCGUGAUACAUUUCCAAUAGACUGAAAACUCAACUUUACCUUUCUCCCUUUCUUCUUCCUGAACAAGUUGGCCUUGAGGUUCACUCUUGUUUGUUUCACCAUUUUGUUCAUCUUUGCUUGACUCCUCUUUAAAACCGUGCAUGCCAGAGACAUUUAAAUCUUGUUCCAAGGUGCUUAUUUCGUUAGGUACUGUUGCUCCAUCUAAUGAAUCUAGUGUAGACAAAGCCUUUUUGUGUGCACCAACAAGUUCCAUAAAAUCAGCUCCACUAUUAAGCAGAUCAGCAUACUUUCCACAUUGAGUAAUUUUCCCGUUUUUCAUGACCUAACAAGCAUAACACGACAGAUUAAAAAACAAAGCUAUCUCUACACUAAUAAAUAACAGUAAAAUUAUGAAAACUACUCACCACUAUAAGAUCUGCAGCAGGUAAGAAUUCUACUUGAUGUGUGACAUAAACCACUGUCUUUGAACAUAAAAGGCCCAACAAGCAUUCCUAUCGCACAGAAAAUAGAAAGGUCCACUUGCAUUAUAAUUCAACAUCACUUUGUUGGCAGAACAAAAUUUCAAGAGUUAAAUAUCAACGAUUAUUUGUAUUUUGCAGUGUGAAAAUGUAGUAGCUCCGGUUAUAUUACGCAUAAUAAACAAAAUGAUGAAACCAAGUUACCUUAAAGAGGUGAGAGCCUGUGUGAGCAUCCACUGCACUAAAAGGGUCAUCAAAUAGAUAUAUAUCAGCAUCUUGGUAAAGUGCACGUGCAAUUUGUAUCCUUUGUUUUUGUCCACCACUCAAAUUUAUUCCACGCUCUCCUAUGACUGUCUGAUCACCAAAUGACAAAAUCUCCAGAUCCUUCUUCAGGGAACAGGCCUCAAGUACCUUCUCGUACUUUUCCCUGUCCAUUUGUUUUCCAAACAAUAUAUUAUCCUCAAUCUUGCCACUCUGUAUCCAUGGAGAUUGUGUAACAUAGGCCUUUGUUCCACAAACCUUAAGGAUGCCUGAUAUCUUAGGUACUUCUCCCAAUACACAAGAAAGUAAAGUAGAUUUGCCUGAUCCAACAGUACCACAAACUGCCACCCUCAUCCCGUG
rnacentral:lncRNA from 1 species